UACGGAGGAUGCAAGCGUUAUCCGGAAUGAUUGGGCGUAAAGCGUCCGCAGGUGGCAAUGUAAGUCUGCUGUCAAAGCGUCCGGCUCAACCAGAUAAAGGCAGUGGAAACUACAUAGCUAGAGUAAGGUAGGGGUAGAGGGAAUUCCUGGUGUAGCGGUGAAAUGCGUAGAGAUCAGGAAGAACACCGGUGGCGAAAGCGCUCUGCUGGACCUUAACUGACACUGAGGGACGAAAGCUAGGGGAGCGAAUGGG
rnacentral:rRNA from 1 species